UACGUAGGGUGCGAGCGUUAAUCGGAAUUACUGGGCGUAAAGGGUGCGUAGGUGGCGGGGCAAGUCUGGUGUGAAAUCCCGGGGCUCAACCCUGGAACUGCACUGGAUACUGCUUUGCUAGAGUACUGGAGAGGGAACUGGAAUUUACGGUGUAGCAGUGAAAUGCGUAGAUAUCGUAAGGAAGACCAGUGGCGAAGGCGAGUUCCUGGACAGUUACUGACACUGAGGCACGAAGGCCAGGGGAGCAAACGGGG
rnacentral:rRNA from 1 species